GGGUGAGUAACACGUGAGCAACCUGCCCCUGACUCUGGGAUAAGCGCUGGAAACGGCGUCUAAUACUGGAUACGAGUAGCGACCGCAUGGUCAGUUACUGGAAAGAUUUAUUGGUUGGGGAUGGGCUCGCGGCCUAUCAGCUUGUUGGUGAGGUAAUGGCUCACCAAGGCGUCGACGGGUAGCCGGCCUGAGAGGGUGACCGGCCACACUGGGACUGAGACACGGCCCAGACUCCUACGGGAGGCAGCAGUGGGGAAUAUUGCACAAUGGGCGCAAGCCUGAUGCAGCAACGCCGCGUGAGGGAUGACGGCCUUCGGGUUGUAAACCUCUUUUAGCAGGGAAGAAGCGAAAGUGACGGUACCUGCAGAAAAAGCGCCGGCUAACUACGUGCCAGCAGCCGCGGUAAUACGUAGGGCGCAAGCGUUAUCCGGAAUUAUUGGGCGUAAAGAGCUCGUAGGCGGUUUGUCGCGUCUGCUGUGAAAUCCGGAGGCUCAACCUCCGGCCUGCAGUGGGUACGGGCAGACUAGAGUGCGGUAGGGGAGAUUGGAAUUCCUGGUGUAGCGGUGGAAUGCGCAGAUAUCAGGAGGAACACCGAUGGCGAAGGCAGAUCUCUGGGCCGUAACUGACGCUGAGGAGCGAAAGGGUGGGGAGCAAACAGGCUUAGAUACCCUGGUAGUCCACCCCGUAAACGUUGGGAACUAGUUGUGGGGUCCAUU
rnacentral:rRNA from 1 species